AGCGAACGCUGGCGGCAGGCUUAACACAUGCAAGUCGAACGCCCCGCAAGGGUAGUGGCAGACGGGUGAGUAACACGUGGGAACGUACCCUUUGGUUCGGAAUAACUUGGGGAAACUCAAGCUAAUACCGGAUAAGCCCUUAUGGGGAAAGGUUUACUGCCGAAGGAUCGGCCCGCGUCUGAUUAGCUAGUUGGUGAGGUAAUGGCUCACCAAGGCGACGAUCAGUAGCUGGUCUGAGAGGAUGAUCAGCCACACUGGGACUGAGACACGGCCCAGACUCCUACGGGAGGCAGCAGUGGGGAAUAUUGGACAAUGGGGGCAACCCUGAUCCAGCCAUGCCGCGUGGGUGAUGAAGGCCUUAGGGUUGUAAAGCUCUUUUACCCGGGACGAUAAUGACUGUACCGGGAGAAUAAGCCCCGGCUAACUUCGUGCCAGCAGCCGCCGUAA
rnacentral:rRNA from 1 species